GGCGGCAUAGCCAAGUGGUAAGGCACAGGUCUGCAAAACCUGUAUCAUCGGUUCAAAUCCGAUUGUCGCCU
rfam:Bacillus cereus Rock4-18 chromosome, whole genome shotgun sequence.